CUGAUACUUCAUCUACUCGUAGAGAUGAUGAUGCCGUCGACUCUUGAUACAUCGUAGAUGAAUGUUUUUAGAUUGUUUUAAAUUUUUUUUUUUUGAUACUUACCUCAAUUUCCAAAAUACGAUUAUGCCAGAACUUUGAUAAGUAUAGAUCUUGAAAAGGACUUUAAUUAGUAUGUUCUAUGUUGACUUGACAGGAACAUGGUUUCCAAAAUCUUACUUCACCAGUUCCUAGUGUGGUUGAAUGAGUUCAGUUUGGCAAGUGAAGGAGAAAACGAGGGAUCCAUUCAAUCAUUUUUUUUUCUUUAAAAAAAAAGAAAAAAAAACAAAGAUGAGUGUUUCUUAUGGGAAUAACUUUGAGGUGCCGUCCCUAUUCCGGGUUUUGUGAAUGUAUACUUUUUCUCCAGAUUUUUGGUUCUCUGCCAUAACAUGGUAUGACUUUUAACAAUGUGCGGUGAAAUUCUUACAAAUUCUAGCUUUUAAAGGUUAUGUUUUCCUCUUUGGAGUUUCGUUAAUUUUCGGCCAUUGCAGCAAUUUCAAUGAAUAUUUUUUUAUUCUUUUUCCUCCCUUCUGGGAUCUGUGCAUGUCAGACUGAUUCAUUUUUUUUUUUCCAAAGCAGAGCUUUCUAUAUCAGUUGUGCAAAGGAGUUGCCAAUUGUCAUAGCCAUGGUGUGCUUCACAGGGAUUUGAAACCUCAAAAUCUUUUGGUUGACAAAGAGAAAGGCAUCUUGAAGAUUGCUGAUCUUGGGCUAGGAAGAACCUUUACCAUCCCUCUUAAGAGCUACACCCACGAGAUUGUCACACUUUGGUAUAGAGCUCCUGAGGUUCUGCUGGGAACCACACACUACUCAACUGGAGUUGAUAUGUGGUCAGUUGGAUGAAUAUUUGGAUGAAUAUGUGGUCAACAUCUCCCCGAAAUCAUCGUCUGUCGGGGAGUCAAUUUGCUCUCUUCGUUUUGCUGCAAGGGUUAAUUCAUGUGAGAUUGGGAUUCCCCGUCGCCAGACCUAGAUGCGUCCUUCAGACUCGCGCUUGAGCUAUGGUUAAGCAACCUGGCAACUACUGUGCAUCCUCUUGCUCCAUAUGAUUACCCGUUGCUGCAGCCGUUAUGGCAUAUUUAAUGACUAUUAGGCUUCUAACAUUGUCUGUCUGUAACCAAUACCAAGGAAAUGAAAUCAAUGUUGUGUUGUUGUUGAAUUUGUAGAGGGAAGGCAUUAUGUUGAUUGUGGUAAUAUUCGUAUCAAAAUUCCUUCUCACUGACGUUAUCUCUCUUAUAAUUGAAUCAAAUUUUUACAUGAACGAUUCCAAAAUCAA